GACGAACGCUGGCGGCGUGCUUAACACAUGCAAGUCGAGCGGUAAGGCCCUUUCGGGGGUACACGAGCGGCGAACGGGUGAGUAACACGUGGGUGACCUGCCCUCAGCUCUGGGAUAAGCCUGGGAAACCGGGUCUAAUACUGGAUAUGACUCCAUGACGCAUGUUGUGGGGUGGAAAGCCUUGUGCGGCUGAGGAUGGGGCCCNCGGCCUAUCAGCUUGUUGGUGGGGUGAGGCCUACCAAGGCGACGACGGGUAGCCGGCCUGAGAGGCGACCGGCCACACUGGGACUGAGACACGGCCCAGACUCCUACGGGAGGCGAGCAGUGGGGAAUCUUGCGCAAUGGGCGAAAGCCUGACGCAGCGACGCCGCGUGAGGGA
rnacentral:rRNA from 1 species